ACGCUAUGAUGAUGAACUUCCCAUAAACAUUCGCAGUAUGCAGCUGACGGGUUAGACCCAUUUGGAGCUUUUAACUUCCUUGGAUGUCUGAGCGU
rnacentral:snoRNA from 1 species